rnacentral:rRNA from 1 species
AGGAAUAUCAGCGACUCAUUAGUGAAGAGAUAGAACUCAGUCGUCUGGCGGAGGACGACGUCAAUCUUCCCGCCCAACUGAAAAGCGGCGAGCGAGUCAAAGUGAUGCUGAAUGCCGGGCUCAGUCCAUGAAAGGCCAAUCAAACCGGGAGAUAGCUGGUUCUCCCCGAAAGCUAUUUAGGUAGCGCCUCGUGAAUUCAUCUCCGGGGGUAGAGCACUGUUUCGGCUAGGGGGCCAUCCCGGCUUACCAACCCGA